rnacentral:rRNA from 1 species
AGUGAACGCUGGCGGUAGGCCUAACACAUGCAAGUCGAACGGCAGCACAGUAAGAGCUUGCUCUUACGGGUGGCGAGUGGCGGACGGGUGAGGAAUACGUCGGAAUCUACUUUUUCGUGGGGGAUAACGUAGGGAAACUUACGCUAAUACCGCAUACGACCUACGGGUGAAAGCAGGGGAUCUUCGGACCUUGCGCGAUUGAAUGAGCCGAUGUCGGAUUAGCUAGUUGGCGGGGUAAAGGCCCACCAAGGCGACGAUCCGUAGCUGGUCUGAGAGGAUGAUCAGCCACACUGGAACUGAGACACGGUCCAGACUCCUACGGGAGACAGCAGUGGGGAAUAUUGGACAAAGGGCGCAAGCCUGAUCCAGCCAUACCGCGUGGGUGAAGAAGGCCUUCGGGUUGUAAAGCCCUUUUGUUGGGAAAGAAAAGCAGCAGGUUAAUACCCCGCUGUUCUGACGGUACCCAAAGAAUAAGCACCGGCUAACUUCGUG